ACGAGUUUGAUCAUGGCUCAGAACGAACGCUGGCGGCAGGCUUAACACAUGCAAGUCGAGCGCCCCGCGAAGGGGAGCGGCAGACGGGUGAGUAACACGUGGGAACCUACCCUUUUCUACGGAAUAACGCAUGGAAACGUGUGCUAAUACCGUAUACGCCCGUUCGGGGGAAAGAUUUAUCGGAGAAGGAUGGGCCCGCGUUGGAUUAGCUAGUUGGUGGGGUAAAGGCCUACCAAGGCGACGAUCCAUAGCUGGUCUGAGAGGAUGAUCAGCCACAUUGGGACUGAGACACGGCCCAAACUCCUACGGGAGGCAGCAGUGGGGAAUAUUGGACAAUGGGCGCAAGCCUGAUCCAGCCAUGCCGCGUGAGUGAUGAAGGCCUUAGGGUUGUAAAGCUCUUUCACCGGAGAAGAUAAUGACGGUAUCCGGAGAAGAAGCCCCGGCUAACUUCGUG
rnacentral:rRNA from 1 species